UGAUGAUGACGAUGAUGAUGGUGAUGAUGAGGAUGGUGAGGAUGAUGAUGAUGCUGCUGAUCUUCAUUGCCUUCAUCAUCAACAUCAUCAUCAAUA
rnacentral:pre_miRNA from 1 species